rnacentral:rRNA from 1 species
UUUUAUGAGAGUUUGAUCCUGGCUCAGGACGAACGCUGGCGGCGUGCCUAAUACAUGCAAGUCGAACGCUUCUUUUUCCACCGGAGCUUGCUCCACCGGAAAAAGAGGAGUGGCGAACGGGUGAGUAACACGUGGGUAACCUGCCCAUCAGAAGGGGAUAACACUUGGAAACAGGUGCUAAUACCGUAUAACAAUCGAAACCGCAUGGUUUUGAUUUGAAAGGCGCUUUCGGGUGUCGCUGAUGGAUGGACCCGCGGUGCAUUAGCUAGUUGGUGAGGUAACGGCUCACCAAGGCCACGAUGCAUAGCCGACCUGAGAGGGUGAUCGGCCACAUUGGGACUGAGACACGGCCCAAACUCCUACGGGAGGCAGCAGUAGGGAAUCUUCGGCAAUGGACGAAAGUCUGACCGAGCAACGCCGCGUGAGUGAAGAAGGUUUUCGGAUCGUAAAACUCUGUUGUUAGAGAAGAACAAGGAUGAGAGUAACUGUUCAUCCCUUGACGGUAUCUAACCAGAAAGCCACGGCUAACUACGUGCCAGCAGCCGCGGUAAUACGUAGGUGGCAAGCGUUGUCCGGAUUU